rnacentral:tRNA from 1 species
UCGGAACAUAGCUCAGCGGCGAGAGCAGUCUCAUGAGUAGACAAGGGCGAAGGUUCGAGUCCUUCUGUUCCGAU